UUCAUUUACGGAGAGUUUGAUCCUGGCUCAGGACGAACGCUGGCGGCGUGCUUAACACAUGCAAGUC
rnacentral:rRNA from 1 species